rnacentral:rRNA from 1 species
UAUGAGUGUAGUUAAGUGUAAACUAAUUUUGGGGAGGUAUAUAAAUAGUAAGAGAUUUAAAACAGUACUGUACAAGGGUCAUGUUGUAAUGAAAUUGUGUUUUAAGAUUGUUUUGUUAAUAUAAAAGUGUUUGCUAGAUUAAUUUAUAUAAAUUUAAAUAGAUUAAAUCGUUUUUUUAGAUAGUAUAAGUAGUAUAGAAAUUUAUGUUGUGUUAAAGUACUGUAAAGGAAAAAUAGUUUUGAUUUAAUUUAAGAAUAGUAGAGAUUAAGUCUCGUACCUUUUGUAUAAUGGAUUGAUGAUUUUUAGUAUUAUAUAAUAUAUUCUCGAAGUGAAAGGAUUUACUUAAUAAGUAUAUGUUAACGUUGUAUAGUUAUAUAUUGAUUUUUAAGUGGUAAUGAUAUGUUUAUCGAUUUUCAUGAUAGCUAGUUUAUUAGUGAGUAUAUUUAAGUAUUGUAAUGUUAAGACAGUGUAAGUUGUUUAAUAUUAGUUUAUAGUAUGGGGGAUAAGCUUCAUAUAAUUGUAUAGAGAAUGUUAAAUAUUAUUAGGUAAUUUAAGUAGAAUUAAUAACGUUUUUCUUUAAAAGUAGUUUAAAUUAUAAUAGUGUUAAUUUUAAUCUCAUGUUGUAUAACUAAUAAAUGCUUAUGAAUUUAUAAGUAAGUAAAUAUAAUGUUAAUAUGAGUAUUGGUCGGAAUUUUAAUAGUUAAUAUAUUUAAAGAUGUUGUAGUUGUGAAUGGUUUAUAUUAAGAGAAAGUUAAAUAAGAUGAAGGAAUUCGGCAAAUAUUAAUCUCGCCUGUUUAUCAAAAACAUGUCUCUUUGUGAAAUAUAGAUAAAGAGUCGGGCCUGCUCGGUGAAUAAGUUUUUAACAGCUGCGGUAUUUUAACUGUACUAAGGUAGCAUAAUAAUUUGCCUUAUAAUUUGAGGCUAGAAUGAAUGGUUUGACGAAGGUUAAUCUGUCUCCAUCUUAUUUUUUAGAAUUUAAUUUUUAAAGUGAAAAAGCUUAAAUUUUUUAAAGGGACGAGAAGACCCUAAUGAGCUUAUAAUUUUAUUAUUGUUGUUUAAAACAUUUGAUCAACGGUAUAUAAAUUUUAAUUGGGGUGAUUGAGGAAUAAGUUGGAUAAAGUAACUUCCUUAAAUUAAAUGUUUAUAGAUAAAGUAACCAAUAUAAUAUUGCUUAUAAUAUAGUUACCAUAGGGAUAACAGCGUAAUUUGUUUAGAGAGUUCUUAUUGAAAAACGAGAUUGCGACCUCGAUGUUGGAUUAAAGUAACCUUAAGGUGCAGAAGCUUUAAUAAGGUAAAUCUGUUCGAUUUUUAAUACUUUACAUGAUCUGAGUUCAGACCGGCGUGAGCCAGGUUGGUUUCUAUCUUUUAAAAUGAGUGUUGCUUCUUUUAGUACGAGAGGACCAAGGAAUGCUAAAAUUUAUUAUUAUAAU